GGAAGGUAUUCACCUCCAACGAGACCUGCUACUAGAAUCCGACUGGUUCACGCUUACCUGUCCGUCCUCAUAGCACCCGAGAGUCGACUAUUCCUCCGAUUCACAUGGCAAGGUCGCCCAUGCCAGUUCACAUGUCUACCCGUGGUGCUUCAUGAAACUACUGAAACCAGUCAUGGCACAACUGAGGGCAAAAGGUAUUCGCUGUCUCAUAUACCUG